AGGGGAAAGGAGUGUUCUUGGUGGAAGAACCAAAGGGAAAACGUGGAACAGAGAAGAUUCUAGGCUAAGGGGCAGACUUGAACAAUAACUGACAAGACAGGGGGAGGGUACAAUUCUCUUACAAAAGGGGGUGGAGAACUCAUACAACUGCUGUUUCCCAUGGCAACCCUAGACUGCCUUCCCCAACCCCUCCUCCUACACCAGUGACAGCUUUUCACACUGAAGGGCAGUGCUAUUGUAUAACAAACACUUAACUCUUAGCCCAGCCGGGCUCGCUGGCUGCUUUUGCAAGCUUUUUACCAACUAGCGAUGCUUGUAAGCGGUGCUUGUAACUCCUAGCUUGUACCACGCUCCCACUAGCUGCGCUAUCAGCUAGCGGCGUUCAAAGCAGCUCCUCAAACCGCGGCUUGUGCCCGCGCGCCCGCUGCGCUAUCAGCUGGGCUGCGCCUAAAGCACCUUUGCAAGCCCCGACUUAAGCCCCGCGCCGCGCUCCCCUCGCUCGCCAGGGACAGCCCGUGCCACGCAUGCGCACCACCCGCUCUAUCAGGUAGAGUGCGCACUACCCGCACUAUCAGGUAGUGUGGCUGAGAGCUGCCCUGCGCAUGCGCCCCACCCGCUCUAUCAGGUAGAGUGGCUGCUAGCCGCCCCGAGCAUGCGCACUACCCGCACUAGCAGGUAGUGUGGGCUGAGAGCUGCCCUGCGCAUGCGCUCUCUAGCACUGCCGCGCCGCGUCUCUCUAUCUUAGCAACGCCGCACCGCGCAUCACCGUUCCACUCACACAUACACACACACGCACAAGCACGCACGUCCGGACGUAACAGACACACUACACUGCAAUCGGGACACACACCACACACUGAAAUCGCGAUUUCGCCCUCCCCGAGCCGCGCUAUCAGCUGGGGAGGUCCUCCCGCCGCCGGCCUCUCCCCGAUGGCGGUCUGCUUGCAAGCCCCUAGGCAAACCUGCGCGCAAAAACAUCUUUUUGCGACUUAUCAGUGCCAACCUUAAGAAAAUAAAUUAAUACAUACCGCUUUCA